AUGGCCGACGAGCUGGACGAGCUCAUCGAUUUCCUCUCCAACAGCUCCCCUCAGGUGCGCGGCGCCGCGGCGGACAUCGUGCGGGGGCUCACCGGGGACAGCGACGGGCUGCGCUCCCUCGCGGCGCGCGCCGACCGCGCGCUGCCGGCGCUGCUCCGGCUGCUCGCGUCCGUGGGGGGCGGUGGCGCGGGCGAGGCGGCGGCCGACUCGCUCGUCAACCUCAGCCAGGACGGCGACCUCGCCGCGCGCCUCGUGGUGCUCGGCGCCGUCGCGGCCGCCAUGGACGUGAUGGUCAAGCGCGGCGGCGAGCAGCCCAAGCUCGCUCGCAGCCUUGUCAUGCUGCUCGUCAACCUCACCCAGGUCGAGUCCGGCAUCUCGGCCCUCCUCCAGGUUGGUGAUGAAAAGGUGCAAGGGUUGUAUGUUGCAAAGCUUGUGCGCUCAUUCUGCAGGUCAUCUUGUGACUCUGAAGAUGAAGAUAUAUUUGAACACAUCGCCUCUAUACUUGUGAAUAUCUCAAAGGUUGAAGCUGGACGGAGAAUACUGAUGGAACCUAAGAGAGGUCUUCUAAAGCAGAUUAUAGGACAAUUCGAUUCAACAAACCAACUUAGAAAGAAAGGGGUUGCUGGCACCAUCCGUAACUGUUGCUUUGAAGCUGAUACCCAGAUACAAAAUUUGCUUUCUAUAGCAGAAUAUCUUUGGCCAGCUCUACUUUUGCCUGUAGCUGGAAAGAAGAUCUAUAGCGAAGAAGAUAGAUCGAAAAUGCCUCCCGAGCUUGCAAAUGCACUUUCUCAUGAACGAGAAGCUGUUGAUGAUUCUGAAAUUCGUGAACGGGCACUGGAGGCUAUCUAUAUGAUCGUGAUGCAGGAUGAUGGACGAAAGGCCUUUUGGUCAGUCAAUGGGCCACGGAUACUGCAGGUUGGUUAUGAAGACGAAGAGGACCUGAAAGUGAUGGGAGCAUAUGAGUUGAUUGGUUCUUUGCUUGUCGGUAAGGGUGAAAUUGAACAAGAUCAAGAGCAAGGAGAAGAUAAGCCUCAAUGA
rnacentral:rRNA from 1 species